rnacentral:rRNA from 1 species
UGCGGAAGGAUCAUUACCGAGUGUAGGGUUCCUAGCGAGCCCAACCUCCCACCCGUGUUUACUGUACCUUAGUUGCUUCGGCGGGCCCGCCAUUCGUGGCCGCCGGGGGCUCUCAGCCCCGGGCCCGCGCCCGCCGGAGACACCACGAACUCUGUCUGAUCUAGUGAAGUCUGAGUUGAUUGUAUCGCAAUCAGUUAAAACUUUCAACAAUGGAUCUCUUGGUUCCGGCAUCGAUGAAGAACGCAGCGAAAUGCGAUAACUAGUGUGAAUUGCAGAAUUCCGUGAAUCAUCGAGUCUUUGAACGCACAUUGCGCCCCCUGGUAUUCCGGGGGGCAUGCCUGUCCGAGCGUCAUUGCUGCCCAUCAAGCACGGCUUGUGUGUUGGGUCGUCGUCCCCUCUCCGGGGGGGACGGGCCCCAAAGGCAGCGGCGGCACCGCGUCCGAUCCUCGAGCGUAUGGGGCUUUGUCACCCGCUCUGUAGGCCCGGCCGGCGCUUGCCGAACGCAAAUCAAUCUUUUUCCAGGUUGACCUCGGAUCAGGUAGGGAUACCCGCUGAACUUUAGCAUAUCAA